UCAGACUGCAUUUCCCAUUUUACUGGUUUUGCUUUCUGAUGUCACCUUUGAAUUUCACGAAGUUUUUAAGGGGAUGCAUGCUGAGAUUUUUUUUUUUUUGUGGCCUGUUAACUGUCUCCAAAAUUUGGCCCAUCAUUUUUCCGAAGGCAUUUCUAGUAGAACUUCAGUAUUCUGUGAUGUCUUGAAUCAUAAGCUGUGUAAUAUGAGAAUCAGAUAAAUUUAGACUGUGUAACUCUUUCUGGCUUUCAUAUCGGAUGGGAUAAGUUCAUGAGCUGUGUGUGUAAAAAAACGUAGACAUCUCGGAUUUGAUCUUGAGUUAUUCCUUGGGUAUAACCAAGAUACUGAAAGGCAUAUUAACUUUUCCAGGUCACAAGGGUUUUCUUUAGAAUGCUGGACUAUAAAUAGUUCCCUAGUGGUGGACUGAAAAUGAUGUUUCAUUCUCUUUCCCUCAUUCCGGAGAGCUUGGGGUACCAGAGAAUCACCCUGACUUGCAAGUGUCGGGCUCAGUGUAUGCCAGUAUUGUUUAUAAGGUCCAGUUUUGGAUUAACCUUUUGUGAUGAAAAAAAGUCAACAAGGAUGUCUUUGUGAACGUUUUGUUUCUUAGGGAAAAUUAUUUUACAUGGAAUUUACCUGGAGCGCCACAUAAAAAUUCUAAGCACAGAACAUCUAGCGCAGUGUAAAAAUUUAUCUCCCUUGAAUUGCUUAAAUGUCAUCGUGUUUCAUAGAAAAUAGGAAAUACCUCAUUUUGCAACUAAUCUUGCCAGAGCUUUUCUGCUGUGGUCUCAUCUAUAACGGUGCCAUCUGCAGAGAAAAGGAGAACUGAGUAAUUACCCAGUGAAUACAAACACUGGCCAGCCACAGAGAUGAUUCAGAAAGACUUUAUUUUGUUUUGUGAUCUUGCAGAGCGAGAUUAUCUGUCCAAAAAAUCUGAGAAACUACCUAUACCAUUUCCGAUUGACUGUCUGAACUACUUCUGUGCAAUCCGCUGCACAGGCCUUGCUGGGCUGGAGUGGAUUUGCUGGGAUUAUAGGAUCUGCCCCAUGGCUGAACUGGUCAAGUUUUCACUAGAUUCUAAGCUUCUUGAGGGCACAGAUUGCACUGUUUUUAUCUUUGAAUCCGUCAGCCAUCUUGACUGUAGAAAGCAUCCUCUAAAUAGUUAUUGAAUUGAUUUAAACUCAAUUUAUUAUGAGAAUUAUUUCUAGGCCUCCUAAGCAUCUGACAGUGUUUGAAAAAUACGUUCCUUGAUGCUCCUUUUUAUUACACAUGGUUUGGUUCCCCACGGGGAGCCGUGUAUGUUGUGGAAACAUGGGCAUCUAUUUAUGAUAGGAAGUGAUGGAUUGUGACAAGGAGAGUUGCAGCCGAAAUUGGGUAACAUUUGGUAAAUAUGGGUAAAACUGCUGCAGACCUGUGUGGCCUAACAGAAUUCAUACAGACUAAGAGAUUUUGAAAACUGUUUUCACGGCUGUGGUACAUUACACAGUUUGUCUUUCUUGUCUCUUUUGACAGUUUUAUUAUUAAGCAGGCCUGGAAAUCAGGUGAGGAGAUGCUUCUGUGUGUGUGUAAACAGGAGAUAAAUGAAAUUUCAUCCCACUAGGGUAAGUCCUGCUUAGAAAGAUGACAAUAGCUAUUAAAUGGGAGCCUAAUAUGUGUCAGACAGUCUUUACAUACAAUAAUGUAUCUAAUGCAAACAACAAACCUUUGAGUUAACUAUUUCCAUUUUCUAAGACUGAUAAGUUGAUGUUCAGAGAUGUUUAAUAACCUGCUUAAGCUCACAUAGUAAAUGGCAAAGCUGAGAUUCAAACCCCACACGCUCUGACUAGUAAAUUGGUGCUCUUCCCACGUAUCGUGCUUGACACGGGAGGCACCUCCACACGGUGAUUCUUAACCGUGUCAAAACAUCUUCUUCUUUUGGGACACCACUUGUCUGUAAUUAUUACCUGUAGAGUCUUUCUUUGAGGCUCAGGCCAGAUGAAGGCUUUGUUUAUGUAGAGCAAUACAAUAGUCCAACCUCAGCCUCCAGGACUGGCAGCGCUUCCUGGGGAGUCAGAAACUCGACCCACGUGAGUCACCUUGAACAAAAGAAAACAAGCGAAGUAAGAGGGCGUUCAAUGCUUUGUCUACUUAAAAUGCAACUAACUGCGCAAUUUGAAUUCUGAGUAGAAAGAAACAAAUGAAAAUGUUAUUUCACUUUUCAAACUGUGUUGCAUUAAUCUGCUAGAAUUCGCACCUUCGGAGGUCAGGAAGGAGCCCUCUGGCAGAGCUGCAGGGGGAGAAGGCGCCUGGGUUUCAUCAGCUGAUGCAGGAGCCAAGUGCUGUUCUACUCAGAAGCAGGCCAAAUAGAAGGAAGCCCGGUCUGCUGAGAUGGACAUCUGGGCACCUGCGUGUCUCUGUUGUCCCCCGCGCUGGGAGGAGUGUGAACAAAGCAGCCUGGUUUCUGCCCUCAGGAAGCUUAUAGUCUGGAUGUAAAAAGACACAACGAUUUCAUAUUACAGUAUGUGAGAGCUGUCAAAGAGGCAACACGGUCAAGGAAAAUUCAGCAACUCAGAGGGAGAAAACUUGCCUCCAAAAGCCCCUGGAGCCAGCCCGAGGCAGGGUGUGUUCAGAGGGACUGUGGGAAGACGAGACACUGGGGAGGAGAGGGGGACAAGGGCUCCAACGCAGUUUUCAACCAUUUAAAGGUCACGACCCCAGUAGGAGACUGUGCGGCUGUAAUUUGGCUGUUCGUUUGUUAAACAAUGAAGAACACCUGCGCGCUAAAGGCUCCAACUCGACUGGGGAGCGCAGUGGUUGGUGAAACUGGCUUUGGUUGCUUGUGACUUGAGGCAGGUAUCACUGAAGCCCAGCAGCCAGCCACAUCCACUUUCUGUGAAGAGGCUUUCACAGUAAUGAAAAAACGUAUUUUGGGGCCGGCUCCAUGGCUUAGUGGUUAAGUUCAGCAUGCUCUGCUUUGGUGGCCUGGGUUUGUGGGUUUGGUUCCCAGGGGCUGACCUACACCACUCGUCAGCCAUGCUGUGGUGCUAUCCCACCUAUAAAGUGCAGGAAGAUUGGCACAGAUGUUAGCUCAGGGCUAAUCUUCCUCAAGCAAAAGGAGAGGAAGAUUGGCAACAGAUGUUAGCUCAGGGUGAAUCUUCCUCUGCAAAAAAAAAAAUAUAUAUAUAUGUAUAUAUUUUAAUUUAUUUUAUUUUGGUGAAACUAAGAUAACAUAAAAUUAACCAUUUUAAAGUGAACAUUUCAGUGGUAUUUAGUAUAUUCACAACGUUGUGCAAUCAUCACCUCUAUUUAGCUUCUAACAUUUUCAUCAAUCCAGAAGGAAACCCCAUACCUAUUAGGUAAUUCUUCCUCAUUCUCCCUCCCCCUGCCCCUG
rnacentral:lncRNA from 1 species